UACGGAGGGGGCUAGCGUUGCUCGGAAUCACUGGGCGUAAAGGGUGCGUAGGCGGGUCUUUAAGUCAGGGGUGAAAUCCUGGAGCUCAACUCCAGAACUGCCUUUGAUACUGAAGAUCUUGAGUCCGGGAGAGGUGAGUGGAACUGCGAGUGUAGAGGUGAAAUUCGUAGAUAUUCGCAAGAACACCGGUGGCGAAGGCGGCAUCCUGGACCGACACUGACGCUGAGGAGCGAAAGCCAGGGGAGCAAACGGGG
rnacentral:rRNA from 1 species